rnacentral:sRNA from 1 species
GACAAAGGAUGGGAGAACGCCCGCGCCCCGGGAUGCCGGCCGCGCGCAGCCUGGCGGCCGCCUGAGCUACUUCACCCUCCGCCGCUGAAUUUGGACAGGGGACUUUAGAAGCAGAAGGGGAGAAUGCCCUUGGCAUGGACUUGGCAUUCUUACAAAGAGUAUUUUGCUGUGGUUACCCAAAGGGACAUACUGGAACAAAAGAGGAAAAGUGAACAGAUGCUAUCUGGUAACUGUAGCUGGCAGAUUGGUUUGUGAGCAAAAUGAGACAUCCCUAUGAGGGCUUCAAGAAACACAGAGACCCUCUGAUAUGGAAAUGUACCCAAAAGAACUCUGAGAGAAUAUACUCACUGUCCUGCUGUGAUUAAACAAGACUGCUGUAUUUUACCUGAGCUUGGCAAAGCAAGGAUAUGAACAAUUGUGCAGGUGGGCUACUCAGGGCGAGUGAAGAGAUAAGGCAUCCAAUCAGGGAUUGGCCACCUGCAGCCCUGCCAAUAUGCCCCUCCACCAGAUUUCCGUAAUCCCAGCACGGGAGACUGCCAGCAAUGGG